AACAACACUCAAGCCUGGCUUGGUAUUGGGCCUUAGAGACCAGUUCGGGCCCCAAAUUCGUUGGCUAUAAACUAGUAAAUGGGAGGUCCUGUAGCAUGGCGCCGCAACUAUCGACACAUUUUUGCGCGCGCGGAGUUUGUCCCGCCCUGCCUUACGCGUUCGCAUCGGUGACUCGGACUGAACAGAA
rnacentral:misc_RNA from 1 species